UACGUAGAGUGCGAGCGUUAAUCGGAAUUACUGGGCGUAAAGCGUGCGCAGGCGGUUUUGUAAGCCAGGUGUGAAAUCCCCGGGCUCAACCUGGGAAUGGCAUUUGGGACUGCAAGGCUGGAGUGCGGCAGAGGAGACUGGAAUUCCUGGUGUAGCAGUGAAAUGCGUAGAUAUCAGGAGGAAUACCGACGGCGAAGGCAGGUCUCUGGGCUGACACUGACGCUCAUGCACGAAAGCGUGGGGAGCAAACAGG
rnacentral:rRNA from 1 species